AACAAAACAAUAAUACACUAUACUCCCUCACAUUUAAUUAAUUAUUUUAUUUGUAAGAGAAGAGAUAUGGAGAAUAAUGGAAAGGGCAAAGUAGGCACAUCAAACAAUGGAAGUGUGUUUCCAAAGAAAGAUAAGAAGUCCGUGAAGAAAAUGGCUAUUGAAAAGAUAGGUAAAACUGUGGUGUCCACUUUCAAGAAUGAUAAGAAGAAGAUUAACC
rnacentral:lncRNA from 1 species